UCAAGCUGAAAAGAGCGCAAGGGGAAUGCCUUGGCAUCAGGAGCCGACGAAGGACGUGACAAGCUGCGAUAAGCCACGGGGAGGAGCAAAUAUCCGUUAUAUCCGUGGAUUUCCGAAUGGGGGAACCCGCUCAAGCAAUACUUGAGCAUCGUGCGUUGAAUCAAAUAGGCGUACGAAGGGAACGGCCUGAACUGAAACAUCUAAGUAGGGCCAGGAAAAGACAUCAACCGAGAUUCCGCUAGUAGUGGCGAGCGAACGCGGAGGAGGCCAAACCGAGGGACGCAAGUUCUUCGGGGUUGCGGACAGACAUCAUGACCAGAGGAAAUUAAGAGAACGGCGUGGGAAAGCCGGCCACAGAAGGUGAGAGCCCUGUAUCUGAAAAUGAAGACUGGCAGUCUGGAUCCAGAGUACCGCGGGACACGUGAAACCCCGUGGGAAACCGGGUGGACCACCAUCCAAGCCUAAAUACUACCUGAUGACCGAUAGAGGAGCAGUACCGUGAGGGAAAGGUGAAAAGGACCCCGGGAGGGGAGUGAAAGAGAACCUGAAACCUUGUGCUUACAAGCAGUCAAAGCACGUUAAAGUGUGAUGACGUACUUUUUGUAGAACGGUCCGGCGAGUUAUAGUAACGAGCAAGCUUAAGGUAUUGAGUACCGGAGGCGAAGCGAGAGCGAGUCUGAAUAGGGCGUAAAGUUCGUUGCCAUAGACCCGAAACCGGGUGACCUAUCCAUGAGCAGGCUGAAGUGAGAGUAAAAUCUCAUGGAGGGCCGAACCGACCCCCGUUGCAAUGGUGGCGGAUGACUUGUGGAUAGCGGAGAAAUUCCAAUCGAACUCGGAGAUAGCUGGUUCUCCCCGAAAUAGCUUUAGGGCUAGCGUUAUGUUAGAUUACCGGAGGUAAAGCACUGAAUGGUGGCGGGGCCGAUAAGGUUACCAAGACCUAUCAAACUCUGAAUGCCGGAUAAUUGAUGCAUAGCAGUCAGACAGCGUGAGAUAAGUUUCGUUGUCAAAAGGGAAACAGCCCAGACCCACAGCUAAGGUCCCAAAUUCAUGCUAAGUGGAAAACGAUGUGGAAUUGCGAAAACAACCAGGAUGUUGGCUUAGAAGCAGCCACUCAUUAAAAGAGUGCGUAAUAGCUCACUGGUCGAGUGACUCUGCGCGGAAAAUAUAACGGGGCUAAGCAUGAAACCGAAGCUUGGGCUUGUACUUAGGUACAGGGGUAGGGGAGCGUCGAGUAUGGGGUGAAGUCAGAGCGGAAGCACUGGUGGACUGUACUCGAGUGAGAAUGCCGGAAUGAGUAGCGAGAAUUAUGUGGGAAUCAUAAUGGCCGAAAAUCUAAGGUUUCUUGGGGAAGGUUCGUCCGCCCAAGGUAAGUCGGGAGCUAAGCUCAGGCCGAGAGGCGUAGGCGAUGCACAUACGGUAGAAAUUCCGUAACCACCGAAACUUAAACAGAGGGACACUUCGAAAUAGCGGAACCCGGGCGUUGGUUGACCCGGGCGAAAGGGAGCGAAAUUAGAGUAGCGAAGUCCGCGAUGUUCGGAGGCGAGAAAAGCUCUGAGGUAUGCUAAGGUGCCCGUACCGCAAACCGACACAGGUAGAUGAGGAGAGAAUCCUAAGGCCAACGGGAGAAGGGUUGUUAAGGAACUCGGCAAAUUGACCCCGUAACUUCGGAAGAAGGGGAGCCCCCUACGGGGGGUCGCAGAGAAAUGGCCCAAGCAACUGUUUACCAAAAACACAGGUCUAUGCUAAAUCGAAAGAUGACGUAUAUGGGCUGACGCCUGCCCGGUGCCGGAAGGUUAAGAGGAGAUGUCAGGCAACGAAGCAUUGAAUUUAAGCCCCGGUAAACGGCGGCCGUAACUAUAACGGUCCUAAGGUAGCGAAAUUCCUUGUCAGGUAAGUUCUGACCCGCACGAAUGG
rnacentral:rRNA from 1 species